AUCCUGGCUCAGGACGAACGCUGGCGGCGUGCCUAACACAUGCAAGUCGAGCGGAGAAUUUUAUUUCGGUAGAAUUCUUAGUGGCGAACGGGUGAGUAACGCGUAGGCAACCUACCCUUUAGACGGGGACAACAUUCCGAAAGGAGUGCUAAUACCGGAUGUGAUCAUCGUGCCGCAUGGCAGGAUGAAGAAAGAUGGCCUCUACAAGUAAGCUAUCGCUAAAGGAUGGGCCUGCGUCUGAUUAGCUAGUUGGUAGUGUAACGGACUACCAAGGCGAUGAUCAGUAGCCGGUCUGAGAGGAUGAACGGCCACAUUGGGACUGAGACACGGCCCAAACUCCUACGGGAGGCAGCAGUGGGGAAUCUUCCGCAAUGGACGAAAGUCUGACGGAGCAACGCCGCGUGAGUGAUGAAGGAUUUCGGUCUGUAAAGCUCUGUUGUUUAUGACGAACGUGCAGUGUGUGAACAAUGCAUUGCAAUGACGGUAGUAAACGAGGAAGCCACGGCUAACUACGUGCCAGCAGCCGCGGUAAUACGUAGGUGGCGAGCGUUGUCCGGAAUUAUUGGGCGUAAAGAGCAUGUAGGCGGCUUAAUAAGUCGAGCGUGAAAAUGCGGGGCUCAACCCCGUAUGGCGCUGGAAACUGUUAGGCUUGAGUGCAGGAGAGGAAAGGGGAAUUCCCAGUGUAGCGGUGAAAUGCGUAGAUAUUGGGAGGAACACCAGUGGCGAAGGCGCCUUUCUGGACUGUGUCUGACGCUGAGAUGCGAAAGCCAGGGUAGCGAACGGGAUUAGAUACCCCGGUAGUCCUGGCCGUAAACGAUGGGUACUAGGUGUAGGAGGUAUCGACCCCUUCUGUGCCGGAGUUAACGCAAUAAGUA
rnacentral:rRNA from 1 species